GAUCCAAUAGCACAGUGGUUAGUGCCCUUGCUUUACAUGGUCUAGUUGUCUAACAUCUUGAAGCAAGAGACCCGUGUUCGAUUCACGGUUGGGUCA